UAGCAUCUUCAUACUACUCUACUGGACUGAAGAAGCCUCCCAUCACUCUCUGCUCUCCUCCUGUUUGCCUUAGCAAUUUACAAGUGUCAGCCAUCCUUGCAGGAACGUGCUAUGAGCAUUGAACAGAAUGGAAGACAGUUGAAGGAAUGGAAUAUGACUCUAGCUUAAGUCAAGUUGACAUGAAGCUAGCUAACACAAGGGCAUUUGGAGUCAACAGAAUGGCACGACUCCGGGUGUAUCUGGAGUUUCUACGAGAGAAGUUUAACUGAGGAGACAAGGCCCAGCCUGAAUGUGGGAAGCUUCAUCCCAUGGACUGGGCUCCUGGAGGAGGUGAAGAGGGAAAAAGACUGCUGGAUGACCACUGGAAUUCUUCUGUCUCUGUUCCCUGACUACAGAUACAAUGUGACCAACCAGCUGCCUCUUCUUCCCAGGGCCACACCUUCCCCUCCAGGGUGAAUUGUACUCUCAGC
rnacentral:lncRNA from 1 species